GAUGAACGCUAGCGGCAGGCUUAAUACAUGCAAGUUGAGGGGUAGCAAGAUUGUAGCAAUACAAUUGUUGACGACCGGCAAACGGGUGCGGAACACGUACACAACCUUCCUACAAGUGGGGAAUAGCCCAGAGAAAUUUGGAUUAAUACCCCGUAACAUAGCGAUGUGGCAUCACAUUGCUAUUAUAGCUUCGGCGCUUGUUGAUGGGUGUGCGGCUGAUUAGAUAGUUGGCGGGGUAACGGCCCACCAAGUCUACGAUCAGUAGCUGAUGUGAGAGCACGAUCAGCCAUACGGGCACUGAGACACGGGCCCGACUCCUACGGGAGGCAGCAGUAAGGAAUAUUGGACAAUGGACGCAAGUCUGAUCCAGCCAUGCCGCGUGAAGGAUUAAGGUCCUCUGGAUUGUAAACUUCUUUUAUAAGGGACGAAAAAAGGUCUUUCUAGAUCGUCUGACGGUACCUUAUGAAUAAGCACCGGCUAACUCCGUGCCAGCCGCCGCAGUAACAC
rnacentral:rRNA from 1 species